rnacentral:rRNA from 1 species
UACGAAGGGUGCAAGCGUUACUCGGAAUUACUGGGCGUAAAGCGUGCGUAGGUGGUUUGUUAAGUCUGUUGUGAAAGCCCCGGGCUCAACCUGGGAAUGGCAAUGGAUACUGGCAAGCUAGAGUGCGGUAGAGGGUAGUGGGAAUUCCCGGGUGUAGCGGUGAAAUGCGUAGAGAUCGGGAGGAACACCAGUGGCGAAGGCGGCUACCUGGACCAGCACUGACACUGAGGCACGAAAGCGUGGGGGAG